GGGCUGUGAUGACUAGUUUCAUUUCUCGAUACUGAUCUAAAGUUGUUUUUUUAUACGGAUCAAGAAAAGGCAACGAUUUAAGUUUGAUGACCGCGUUUGUGCGUGUCUGAGCCUG